GAUGAAGAACGUAGCGAAAUGCGAUAAGUAAUGUGAAUUGCAGAAUUCAGUGAAUCAUCGAAUCUUUGAACGCACAUUGCGCCCCUUGGUAUUCCGAGGGGCAUGCCUGUUCGAGCGUCAUAUUAACCACUCCCGCUUGCGGGGUCUUGGGCUUCGCCUCCGGGCGGGCCGUAAAAUCAGUGGCGGUGCCGUCGGGCUCUACGCGUAGUAAAUUUUCUCGCGAUAGGGUCCCGGUGGAUGCUUGCCAACAACCCCCAACUUCUUAAGGUUGACCUCGGAUCAGGUAGGGAUACCCGCUGAACUUAAGCAUAUCAAUAAGCGGAGGA
rnacentral:misc_RNA from 1 species